rnacentral:rRNA from 1 species
AGAGUUUGAUCCUGGCUCAGAACGAACGCUGGCGGCAGGCUUAACACAUGCAAGUCGAACGGGCGCUUAAUUCAGCAAUGGAUUGGGCGUCAGUGGCAGACGGGUGAGUAACGCGUGGGAACAUACCCUCCGGUUCGGAAUAGCUCAGGGAAACUUGGAUUAAUACCGGAUACGGCCGAGAGGCGAAAGAUUGAUCGCCG